rnacentral:rRNA from 1 species
CCUAAAUACUAAUACCAGAUCGAUAGUGCACAAGUACCGUGAGGGAAAGGUGAAAAGAACUGAGGUGAUCAGAGUGAAAUAGAACCUGAAACCAUUUGCUUACAAUCAUUCAGAGCCCUAUGUAGCAAUACAGGGUGAUGGACUGCCUUUUGCAUAAUGAGCCUGCGAGUUGUGGUGUCUGGCAAGGUUAAGCAAACGCGAAGCCGUAGCGAAAGCGAGUCUGAAUAGGGCGCUUAGUCAGAUGCUGCAGACCCGAAACGAAGUGAUCUAUCCAUGAGCAAGUUGAAGCUAGUGUAAGAACUAGUGGAGGACUGAACCCAUAGGCGUUGAAAAGCCCCGGGAUGACUUGUGGAUAGGGGUGAAAGGCCAAUCAAACUUCGUGAUAGCUGGUUCUCUCCGAAAUAUAUUUAGGUAUAGCGUUGUGUCGUAAUAUAAGGGGGUAGAGCACUGAAUGGGCUAGGGCAUACACCAAUGUACCAAACCCUAUCAAACUCCGAAUACCUUAUAUGUAAUCACAGCAGUCAGGCGGCGAGUGAUAAAAUCCGUCGUCAAGAGGGAAACAACCCAGACUACCAGCUAAGGUCCCUAAAUCUUACUUAAGUGGAAAACGAUGUGAAGUUACUUAAACAACCAGGAGGUUGGCUUAGAAGCAGCCAUCCUUUAAAGAAAGCGUAAUAGCUCACUGGUCUAGUGAUUUUGCGCGGAAAAUAUAACGGGGCUAAAGUAAGUACCGAAGCUGUAGACUUGCACACAACUUAGAUUAUUUAAGUUUAGAAUAUGAGAAACUAAGUUAUAUGUUUAGUUAUAUUUUUACUGAUUUUUAUAGAGUAAAGAUAGAAAUAAAACUUAGUAAAAUCAGUAAAAAUAUUCUUAGACUAAAGUUAAGUAGUUUAAGUUGUGUGCAAGUGGUAGGAGAGCGUUCUAUUUGCGUCGAAGGUAUACCGGUAAGGAGUGCUGGAGCGAAUAGAAGUGAGCAUGCAGGCAUGAGUAGCGAUAAUUAAUGUGAGAAUCAUUAACGCCGUAAACCCAAGGUUUCCUACGCGAUGCUCGUCAUCGUAGGGUUAGUCGGGUCCUAAGUCGAGUCCGAAAGGGGUAGACGAUGGCAAAUUGGUUAAUAUUCCAAUACCAACAUUAGUGUGCGAUGGAAGGACGCUUAGGGCUAAGGGGGCUAGCGGAUGGAAGUGCUAGUCUAAGGUCGUAGGAGGUUAUACAGGCAAAUCCGUAUAACAAUACUCCGAGAACUGAAAGGCUUUUUGAAGUCUUCGGAUGGAUAGAAGAACCCCUGAUGCCGUCGAGCC